rnacentral:rRNA from 1 species
GAUGAACGCUGGCGGCGUGCCUAAUACAUGCAAGUCGAGCGAACGGACGAGAAGCUUGCUUCUCUGAUGUUAGCGGCGGACGGGUGAGUAACACGUGGAUAACCUACCUAUAAGACUGGGAUAACUUCGGGAAACCGGAGCUAAUACCGGAUAAUAUUUUGAACCGCAUGGUUCAAAAGUGAAAGACGGUCUUGCUGCCACUUAUAGAUGGAUCCGCGCUGCAUUAGCUAGUUGGUAAGGUAACGGCUUACCAAGGCAACGAUGCAUAGCCGACCUGAGAGGGUGAUCGGCCACACUGGAACUGAGACACGGUCCAGACUCCUACGGGAGGCAGCAGUAGGGAAUCUUCCGCAAUGGGCGAAAGCCUGACGGAGCAACGCCGCGUGAGUGAUGAAGGUCUUCGGAUCGUAAAACUCUGUUAUUAGGGAAGAACAUAUGUGUAAGUAACUGUGCACAUCUUGACGGUACCUAAUCAGAAAGCCACGGCUAACUACGUGCCAGCAGCCGCGGUAAUACGUAGGUGGCAAGCGUUAUCCGGAAUUAUUGGGCGUAAAGCGCGCGUAGGCGGUUUUUUAAGUCUGAUGUGAAAGCCCACGGCUCAACCGUGGAGGGUCAUUGGAAACUGGAAAACUUGAGUGCAGAAGAGGAAAGUGGAAUUCCAUGUGUAGCGGUGAAAUGCGCAGAGAUAUGGAGGGACACCAGUGGCGAAGGCGACUUUCUGGUCUGUAACUGACGCUGAUGUGCGAAAGCGUGGGGAUCAAACAGGAUUAGAUACCCUGGUAGUCCACGCCGUAAACGAUGAGUGCUAAGUGUUAGGGGGUUUCCGCCCCUUAGUGCUGCAGCUAACGCAUUAAGCACUCCGCCUGGGGAGUACGACCGCAAGGUUGAAACUCAAAGGAAUUGACGGGGACCCGCACAAGCGGUGGAGCAUGUGGUUUAAUUCGAAGCAACGCGAAGAACCUUACCAAAUCUUGACAUCCUUUGACAACUCUAGAGAUAGAGCCUUCCCCUUCGGGGGACAAAGUGACAGGUGGUGCAUGGUUGUCGUCAGCUCGUGUCGUGAGAUGUUGGGUUAAGUCCCGCAACGAGCGCAACCCUUAAGCUUAGUUGCCAUCAUUAAGUUGGGCACUCUAAGUUGACUGCCGGUGACAAACCGGAGGAAGGUGGGGAUGACGUCAAAUCAUCAUGCCCCUUAUGAUUUGGGCUACACACGUGCUACAAUGGACAAUACAAAGGGCAGCGAAACCGCGAGGUCAAGCAAAUCCCAUAAAGUUGUUCUCAGUUCGGAUUGUAGUCUGCAACUCGACUACAUGAAGCUGGAAUCGCUAGUAAUCGUAGAUCAGCAUGCUACGGUGAAUACGUUCCCGGGUCU